rnacentral:rRNA from 1 species
CUAAGCCAUGCGAGUCAUUGUAGCAAUACAAGGCAGACGGCUCAGCAACGCGUAGUCAACCUAACCUAUGGACGGGAAUAACCUCGGGAAACUGAGAAUAAUGCCCGAUAGAACACUAUACCUGGAAUGGUUUGUGUUCCAAAUGAUUUAUCGCCGUAGGAUGGGACUGCGGCCUAUCAGUUUGUUGGUGAGGUAAUGGCCCACCAAGACUAUUACAGGUACGGGCUCUGAGAGGAGUAGCCCGGAGAUGGGUACUGAGACACGGACCCAGGCCCUAUGGGGCGCAGCAGGCGAGAAAACUUUGCAAUGUGCGAAAGCACGACAAGGUUAAUCCGAGUGAUUUGUGCUAAACGAAUCUUUUGUUAGUCCUAGAACCACUAACGAAUAAGGGGUGGGCAAGUUCUGGUGUCAGCCGCCGCGGUAAAACCAGCACCUCAAGUGGUCAGGAUGAUUAUUGGGCCUAAAGCAUCCGUAGCCGGCUCUGUAAGUUUUCGGUUAAAUCUGUACGCUUAACGUACAGGCUGCCGGGAAUACUGCAGAGCUAGGGAGUGGGAGAGGUAGACGGUACUCGGUAGGAAGGGGUAAAAUCCUUUGAUCUAUUGAUGACCACCUGUGGCGAAGGCGGUCUACCAGAACACGUCCGACGGUGAGGGAUGAAAGCUGGGGGAGCAAACCGGAUUAGAUACCCGGGUAGUCCCAGCUGUAAACUAUGCAAACUCAGUGAUGCAUUGACUUGUGGUCAAUGCAGUGCUGCAGGGAAGCCGUUAAGUUUGCCGCCUGGGAAGUACGUACGCAAGUAUGAAACUUAAAGGAAUUGGCGGGGGAGCACCACAAGGGGUGAAGCCUGCGGUUCAAUUGGAGUCAACGCCGGAAAUCACU